CUCGAGUGGCGAACGGGUGAGUAACACGUGAGUAACCUGCCCUUGACUUCGGGAUAACUUCAGGAAACUGGGGCUAAUACCGGAUAGGAAUCCUUGCUGCAUGGUGGGGGUUGGAAAGCUUCGGCGGGUUUGGAUGGACUCGCGGCUUAUCAGCUUGUUGGUGGGGUAGUGGCUUACCAAGGUUUUGACGGGUAGCCGGCCUGAGAGGGCCACCGGCCACAUUGGGACUGAGAUACGGCCCAGACUCCUACGGGAGGCAGCAGUGGGCAAUAUUGCACAAUGGGCGGACGCCUGAUGCAGCAACGCCGCGUGC
rnacentral:rRNA from 1 species